AACUGCUCUGAGACUGUCUGGAGUCUGUCUGAAACUGAUAAAAUUGGAGAGGGAGUUAAGGCUCUAGCUAUGUAAAUUGAUAAGAACUCAUGAAUUCGAAAUGGGAAUUUACAGUCACUCAACAAUGCUAGCGAUUACGACGCAAUGCAAAUCAAUAUUUAAGCUCAUGCUUUGAAAGUUUUUUCAAUGUUUAUCACCAGACAAUUCAUUAUGCACAGGUAUGAUCUUCGGUUCAAAGAAGCCUAUCAGCUGAAGUUUAAGCGUAACGUGGCAUUUCAAUGGAACAAUUAUUUGAAAGGGGGCCCUUAUGACACCUUGAGCCCCGUCGAUAACCCCCCCAUGUCUGUAGUGAUGACACUUUUCCAGGGAUGAUGAUUAUACCUGCUCACUUGGGGAUGUUUGUGGAAGCAUGAUUGACCCAGCAUAGCAGAUGAUCUACAUGGGAGCAUUUCUUCUGGAUUUACAGUAUUUUACAGUUGGGACAUCAAAUUUCGUAAAGUUUUCAGUAAGUAACCUUUGAAAUAUUUUUGAGAUAAAUGCAUUAUUUUGGUUAUGUGUAAAAUAAGCCAACAUAUUUUAUUCUAGUAUUUGAGUAAUUUGUGAAGUUUUUCAAACAUUUUAUGUACUAAGUAAUACAGGGUAAUAGAAUGUAAAAAAUAAAAAAUAAAAAAAGCUUAAACAAAGCUUCUUAAUAGAAUCAAAGGCAUUGCAUUGUUUUUGUGCAAAUUGACUCUGAAAAGCAGUGUAACUAUAGCUUGUAUGGAAUAUUGCAAGGCACCUUCUAUUCUUAUAUUGAGGGACAUAAAUUGCUGUAUCAUCUCAAGAGAUAUCCAUUUGGUUUGUUGUCAGUUCUAACAGUUUAGCCACCCACUUGAAUCUAUGACAACAGAAUUUAUCAAAUCUUGUCAAAUAAUUAAGUUAUUACAAUAUAUUUAUUGAUUCAAUGUAUAAUAGAACUGUUAAUAAAUGGUCAAUAAAACGUGUCUACGUAGUUUGUCUACUUCUGUUGUUCCUUGAUAAAAAAAAUAAAGAAAUCUGCGGCACUUGCGUAUUUAGGCCUACUAUUCACAUUUUUCCAAUAUCCAAGAAGGAAAACUCAUUGUAUUGUUAGUACAUUUUAGUAAUUUCAUAUACUCUCUUAUCCAGAGUGAAUUACAGUACUGGUUCCCCGGUGGGAAUCGAACCCAAAACCCUGGCGUUGCAAGCGCCAUGCUCUACCAACUGAAUCACACGGGACACACAUCGAACCGUUAUUUUAUUUUUAGUUUGGGAUGACCAGUGCCUAUUCACUAGCACACAUCCAGCUGCAGGAAACGGUGGUUGUUGUUCCUGUGGACCACUGGUUGUAGUGAUUCUUCCAUCAUGGCCGCCGCUGCCACCCCGCCCUCACGUCUGCCACUCAGCAGUAAAAUGGCAGCAUGCAGUGGGUGAGACAAGAGAGUGAUGCGCUCACCACUCCUAUGUGGCUGCUGUGGUACACUCCACUGAACCAUAACCUUUUCCGUUCACCACACCGAGCUUAGGGGCUCUCUAUACGUCUUUAGGUGGUUUUAUUAAACUGUUCAAACACAGUGAUGUACGAGGGCGAGUUAUUAUAUGAGUGUGUGCUUAGGGAAAUAAUUAUUGCAUAGGACAGCACAGGUAGAAGGUGCUACUAAUACAGAUGAUGGGUAGCCUAGCCUACCACCAUUUUCUCUGUGACUGUAGCCACAGGAAUGGUCGACAGUGCAAGCCAUUCAGAGAUUGUCAGUGAUAGAAUUGAUGUCAAUUCGCCAUGCUAAUGUGUGGCAGACCACACACUAGAAGUAUAAGGAUCUGAAUUGGCGAGUAGUGUUAUUUGCAAAAAGGUCUUUACAGUGGCAGUUGUUGCAUUUGUCUAGCAAUUAACUAAGUAACUAGGAACAGUGGGCAAAACUGGUUGAAAUUAGGUAUUUAAAACCAGUUUUGCUCAAUGGGAUACAGUAAACGGUACAUCAUGCAGUGAGGCUUAUCUGUGUGCAUUGAUAUGUUUUUUUGUUAUCAGCAGUUAUCAAAUGAGAGAUGGAGCCAAGUUCUAAUACCCAAUUUCACCAGCUCCUCUACUGAGCAUAGAGAAGUAUUUAUGGUGAUCUAUGCUUCAUCUACCAGUCAAUGUACACAGUAAAAGGGCAAACAGGGAUUUAGUUGCAUAAUCAUAUCUUUUUCCUCUUGCGUAACACGGCUGCGCUGUUUUUCUGCAGUAUCAUGUCUCCAAUGAUGCUUCGCGUCACCAUAGAACACUGCGUCAUUUGUUCUUCCAGAAUUGUACUGUACUCAGAAAUAGAAUCUGUUUUUGUGGCAUAGGAAGGGCAUUGUGGGGUCUGAAACAUGGUAACCCUUACAUUUGGGUCAAAUGGGUGAAUAUAUUAGAAUUUUGGUUUAUUGUGGUGAUUAUAUGCCAUUGAUGCCGAAUGUUGUUUUACAGAAUACGAUAACAAACCCCAUUUGCAGUACUCUUAUCUGUUUGCUUCUGCCCCAGCAACUUUGAAUGUAGCCUAAUUCAGAGAUCAUUCUUUACAAUCUGUCGAUAAACCCCAAUUGUGUACUUUUCCUGAUAAAUGAAUCGUUGUGAUGCGGUAUACAGCGCUUUGCCAUCCUAUCUACGCACAAUACAUAAGAAAAAAACAGAUUGGGUCAUACAAAACAGUGGUCAAAUUAGGCAACCCUGGUAAAUAAGGUAAUCUCAUUGGUUCACAAUGUAUAUUUGUGUCUUUUUUGUUGUUGUUCCGUGUGAGAGGAGGAUGGCUGUGGUGUGCACCACGAAGAAGAUGUCAUGCUGAGGACGGGUUUCUGCACUGAUGUUUUUGGUGUGAUGUAGCGGCGGCUCUCUCACUGUGUCUCUGUUGCCCAUGAUGCGUAACCAUAGAGAGUGAUUGACAGCAUGGUCCCUACACAGCAAAGGGGGCCUGAGGAUUUUCUGAGACGUCACAAGAAGUUACUGCCAUGGAUCGAGAACCUCAACUACAAAAGGAGGCUAUGCAUCUUCUGAAGUACGGAGUGGGGUGUAGUAUGUGGCGAGCUAAAACUUCAUCAGAGUCCCAAUACAGAGAAUCGGCAGACGGCGGAGACGACCAGAUGACAUCAGGCUGCCUGCCUACCUGCUCUUGGACAUGCUGACCUGCCCAACACCUCCGCUGACCAUCUAGUUAUGAGCUUCCAAAUCCUCUCAUGAUGGAGGCUUCAAGAAACACUCAAACAGACUUGCUCUAGAUGAUCUAGCUACUGUUGUAGCCUAUAUUUCAUGACUUCUUGUUUAUUUUGCUUAACAUGUGCUUUGAGAUUCUGUAUGUAAUGAAAAGUGCCAUAAAUGUUUAAUAAUAAAUUAUUAAUUCAUUUUAAAACAAGUUUCCUGCAAUUCUAGACAUUUUGUCAUGAUUUAUGCCAUGUUAAUAUAUCUCAGUGAGAGUAAAUAAGAAAAUCAAAGGGGGCUCCCUGGAGGUCAGUGCCCCUGGGCAUGUGCCCUGCGUGCCCAGUC